UGGCCCUGGUGUCGCGAGCAGACUUCAAUCCACCUGGCGGCGUCAG
rnacentral:tRNA from 15 species